AUUGAACGCUGGCGGCAUGCCUUACACAUGCAAGUCGAACGGUAACGGGUCCUUCGGGCUGCCGACGAGUGGCGAACGGGUGAGUAAUAUAUCGGAACGUGCCCAGUAGUUGGGGAUAACUGCUCGAAAGAGCAGCUAAUACCGCAUACGACCUGAGGGUGAAAGGGGGGGAUCGCAAGACCUCUCGCUAUUGGAGCGUCCGAUAUCAGAUUAGCUAGUUGGUGGGGUAAAGGCCUACCAAGGCAACGAUCUGUAGUUGGUCUGAGAGGACGACCAGCCACACUGGGACUGAGACACGGCCCAGACUCCUACGGGAGGCAGCAGUGGGGAAUUUUGGACAAUGGGCGCAAGCCUGAUCCAGCAAUGCCGCGUGCAGGAAGAAGGCCUUCGGGUUGUAAACUGCUUUUGUCAGGGAAGAAAUCCUCUGGGCUAAUACCCCGGGAGGAUGACGGUACCUGAAGAAUAAGCACCGGCUAACUACGUG
rnacentral:rRNA from 1 species